UUUAACCUACGGGGCGCAGCAGUGAGAAAUAUUGGUCAAUGGGCGGGAGCCUGAACCAGCCAAGCCGCGUGAGGGAAGAAGGUACAGCGUAUCGUAAACCUCUUUUGUCAGGGAACAAAGGCGGGGACUAGUCCCCGGAUGAGGGUACCUGAAGAAAAAGCAUCGGCUAACUCCGUGCCAGCAGCCGCGGUAAUACGGAGGAUGCGAGCGUUAUCCGGAUUUAUUGGGUUUAAAGGGUGCGUAGGCGGACGCUUAAGUCAGCGGUAAAAUUGCGGGGCUCAACCUCGUCGAGCCGUUGAAACUGG
rnacentral:rRNA from 1 species